rnacentral:rRNA from 1 species
AGCGAACGCUGGCGGCAGGCUUAACACAUGCAAGUCGAGCGGGCACUUUCGGGUGUCCGCGGCGGACGGGUGAGUAACGCGUUGGAACGUGCCCUCUGGUUCGGAAUAACUCAGGGAAACUUGAGCUAAUACCGGAUACGCCCUUUUGGGGAAAGGCUUGCUGCCGGAGGAUCGGCCCGCGUCCGAUUAGCUAGUUGGUGAGGUAACGGCUCACCAAGGCGACGAUCAGUAGCUGGUCUGAGAGGAUGAUCAGCCACACUGGGACUGAGACACGGCCCAGACUCCUACGGGAAGCAGCAGUGGGGAAUAUUGGACAAUGGGCGCAAGCCUGAUCCAGCCAUGCCGCGUGAGUGAUGAAGGCCUUAGGGUUGUAAAGCUCUUUUAUCCGGGACGAUAAUGACGGUACCGGAGGAAUAAGCCCCGGCUAACUUCGUG